AACGAACGCUGGCGGCAUGCCUAACACAUGCAAGUCGAACGAGCCCUUCGGGUCUUGUGGCGCACGGGUGCGUAACGCGUGGGAACCUGCCCUUAGGUUCGGAAUAACUCCCCGAAAGGGGUGCUAAUACCGGAUAAUGUCUUCUGACCAAAGAUUUAUCGCCUUUGGAUGGGCCCGCGUUGGAUUAGCUAGUUGGUAGGGUAAUAGCCUACUAAGGCGCCGAUCCAGAGCUGGUCUGAGAGGAUGAUCAGCCACACUGGGACUGAGACACGGCCCAGACUCCUACGGGAGGCGGGAGUGGGGAAUAUAGGAAAGGGGGCGGAAGCCUGAUCGUGCAAUGCCGCGUGAGUGAUGAAGGCCUUAGGGUUGUAAAGCUCUUUUACCCGGGAUGAUAAUGACAGUACCGGGAGAAUAAGCUCCGGCUAACUCCGUG
rnacentral:rRNA from 1 species